rnacentral:rRNA from 1 species
AUACGGAGGGUGCAAGCGUUGUCCGGAUUUAUUGGGUUUAAAGGGUGCGCAGGCGGUGCGUUAAGUCAGUGGUGAAAUCUUCCGGCUCAACCGGGAAACUGCCAUUGAUACUGGCGCACUUGAGUACGGACGAGGUAGGCGGAAUUUAUGGUGUAGCGGUGAAAUGCAUAGAUACCAUAAAGAACACCGAUAGCGAAGGCAGCUUACCAGACCGUAACUGACGCUCAGGCACGAAAGCGUGGGGAGCAAACAGGAUUAGAAACCCCGGUAGUCC